CCUACGGGAGGCAGCAGUCGAGAAUCAUUCACAAUGGGGGAAACCCUGAUGGUGCGACGCCGCGUGUGGGAAGGAAGGUCUUCGGAUUUUAAACCCCUGUCAUGUGGAAGCAAAUUAAAAAGAUAGUACCACAAGAGGAUGAGACGGCUAACUCUGUGCCAGCAGCCGCGGUAAUACAGAGGUCUCAAGCGUUGUUCGGAAUCACUGGGCGUAAAGCGUGCGUAGGCGGUUUCGUAAGUCGUGUGUGAAUGGCGCGGGCUUAACCCGCGGACGGCACAUGAUACUGCGAGACUAGAGGAAGGGAGGGGGAACCGGAAUUCUCGGUGUAGCAGUGAAAUGCGUAGAUAUCGAGAGGAACACUCGUGGCGAAGGCGGGUUCCUGGACAUUAACUGACGCUGAGGCACGAAGGCCAGGGGAGCGAAAGGGAUUAGAUACCCUUGUAGUC
rnacentral:rRNA from 1 species